rnacentral:lncRNA from 1 species
UCACCGCUGAUGAAGCCGAAGCAGUUGUUCUUGGGCUUCCGCUCGCGUUUUUGGAGACUGAAGACGUAGAAGGAGACCCAACUAACCUCGGUGGAGACGGAGCCUGGUUAUUGUUACCUCCUUGCACCUGCUGCAUUGGUGAACCAGAAGCCAUAGGUUUUGAGUUCGCUGCAAAAGAUAUCUGCGAUUGCUGAGGACGGCCUUGCUGUUUAUGCGACACGUUUCUUAGCGACGAUGCAGCAGCAACGGAUGAAGAUUGCGAC